rnacentral:lncRNA from 1 species
AAACAGAUCUUGAAGCUUAACGAAGUUUUUUGUGCAUCGAUGGAUCUAUGGAUUCCUAAGACCUUAUCGAAGCUUUUUGUGACUUUCGCAUCUGAUUUCAAAGAUCUUCUAGGAUUCAGAUUGAAUUAGGUAAAGUUACAUCUCAAUCUGAUCAUGUCCCAGGAGUUUCUCUUUUUCCAUGACUCGAGAUCGAUAAGAUUCGUAUGGUAGAUUACUUCUGUGUGUUUUUCGAUUGAAUAGCUACUCUAACAAGGAUUCUCGAUUCGGUUUUGGGAUGAUGGAUUCAUGAAAGUUUUCUAGCUAAGGUUUUUGGCGUGAACUUGAAAUUGUUGAUUAU